UACAUGGGGUGCAACCGUUGCUCGGAAUUAUUGGGCGUAAAGCGCGCGUAGGCGGUUAUCUAAGUCGGAUGUGAAAGCCCUCGGCUUAACUGAGGAAGUGCACCCGAAACUGGGUAGCUAGAGUACUAAAGAGGGUCGCGGAAUUCCCGGUGUAGAGGUGAAAUUCGUAGAUAUCGGGAGGAACACCGGUGGCGAAGGCGGCGACCUGGGUAGAUACUGACGCUGAGGCGCGAAAGCGUGGGGAGCAAACAGG
rnacentral:rRNA from 1 species